rnacentral:rRNA from 1 species
ACGCUGGCGGCAGGCUUAACACAUGCAAGUCGAACGGUAACAGGAAUUAGCUUGCUAAUUUGCUGACGAGUGGCGGACGGGUGAGUAAUGCUUGGGAAUCUGGCUUAUGGAGGGGGAUAACUACGGGAAACUGUAGCUAAUACCGCGUAAAAUCUUCGGAUUAAAGGGUGGGACUUUCGAGCCACCUGCCAUAAGAUGAGCCCAAGUGGGAUUAGGUAGUUGGUUAGGUAAAGGCUGACCAAGCCGACGAUCUCUAGCUGGUCUGAGAAGAUGACCAGCCACACUGGAACUGAGACACGGUCCAGACUCCUACGGGAGGCAGCAGUGGGGAAUAUUGCACAAUGGGGGGAACCCUGAUGCAGCCAUGCCGCGUGAAUGAAGAAGGCCUUCGGGUUGUAAAGUUCUUUCGGUGACGAGGAAGGUUGAUAGGUUAAUAGCCUAUCAAAUUGACGUUAAUCACAGAAGAAGCACCGGCUAACUCCGUGCCAGCAGCCGCGGUAAUACGGGGGGUGCGAGCGUUAAUCGGAAUAACUGGGCGUAAAGGGCACGCAGGCGGUGACUUAAGUGAGAUGUGAAAGCCCCGAGCUUAACUUGGGAAUUGCAUUUCAUACUGGGUCGCUAGAGUACUUUAGGGAGGGGUAGAAUUCCACGUGUAGCGGUGAAAUGCGUAGAGAUGUGGAGGAAUACCGAAGGCGAAGGCAGCCCCUUGGGAAUGUACUGACGCUCAUGUGCGAAAGCGUGGGGAGCAAACAGGAUUAGAUACCCUGGUAGUCCACGCUGUAAACGAUGUCGAUUUGGGGAUUGGGCUUUGAGCUUGGUGCCCGUAGCUAACGUGAUAAAUCGACCGCCUGGGGAGUACGGCCGCAAGGUUAAAACUCAAAUGAAUUGACGGGGGCCCGCACAAGCGGUGGAGCAUGU